UGGGGAAUAUUGGACAAUGGGCGCAAGCCUGAUCCAGCCAUGCCGCGUGAGUGAAGAAGGCCCUAGGGUUGUAAAACUCUUUCACCGGUGAAGAUAAUGACGGUAGCCGGAGAAGAAGCCCCGGCUAACUCCGUGCCAGCAGCCGCGGUAAUACGGAGGGGGCUAGCGUUGUUCGGAAUUACUGGGCGUAAAGCGCGCGUAGGCGGUUUGUUAAGUUGGGCGUGAAAUCCCGGGGCUCAACCCCGGAACGGCGCUCGAAACUGGCAGGCUAGAGUUCGGGAGAGGGUGGUGGAAUUUCCAGUGUAGAGGUGAAAUUCGUAGAUAUUGGAAAGAACACCGGUGGCGAAGGCGACCACCUGGACCGAGACUGACGCUGAGGUGCGAAAGCGUGGGGAGCAAACAGGAUUAGAUACCCCCGUAGUCC
rnacentral:rRNA from 1 species